rnacentral:rRNA from 1 species
UAGAUACCCUAUUAUUUUGGAUAUAAAAUUUUAAGCUUGAGUAGUAUUAGUUAUGAACUUGAAACUUAAAGAAUUUGGCGGUAUUUUAGUCUGGUUAGAGGAAUUUGUCCCAUUAUCGAUAAUCCACGUUGAACCUCACUUAAUAUAAUUUAAUAUGUAUACCGCCGUUUAUUUGAAGAUCUUUUUAGGGUUAAUUUUCUUUAAAUUUUAAUUAAUUUUAGUUCAGGUCAAGGUGCAGUUGAUGAUUGAGUGGUGAUGGAUUACAAUAUUUAAAAAGUAAACGAAUUAGGAUAUGAAAGUAUUUUAUGAAGGUGGAUUUAAUAGUAAUUAAUAAUAAGAAUUAUUUUUUUGAUACUAGCUCUAAAAUGUGUACACAUCGCCCGUCACUCUCGUUAUUAAGAUGAGAUAAGUC